rnacentral:lncRNA from 1 species
UUUAUUGCAAUGUCCGUCCCGCGUAUAUUUCCGGCCAAAUCCAUUCAUUUCCGGCCAAUUUAUUUUAGCUACGUUUCAAUUUACUGCAAUCGAUUUGAGACGACAAUCUUUCAUUACCCGGCACGACAUGCCACCUAAGCUUUACGGAGGUCCACCUCAGCAUGGAUUUGGCCGAAAAUAUACGCGGGACGGACAUUGC